GCAGGCUAGAACACUUGCUAGGAUAGCUGAUCAAUGUGUUAGCAUGUGCAAAUGUAUAUUUCCUGCCAAGUUGAUGCUUCGGAACAUUUACAGACUAUUAAAUACUAAAGCAUCUUGUACAGAUCAUUUAACUUUAGAUGUUGCCAGUGUUAAUGACCUUCAGUGGUGGUUGUCAUCAAUUGAUACCUGGAAUGGUAAAGUGGUAAAGGAAGAACAUAUCGAUUUUCAAUUAACUACAGACGCGUCAUUGUCCGGUUGGGGCGGAUGGAUCCUAAACGAGAGGGCACAGGGUUUUUGGACUCCAGAUGUCAGGCGCCAGAGUUCAAAUUACCGCGAACUUUCGGCAGUUAGGUAAGCUUGAUCUACGUGUGACACAUCAGCUGGAUAGGUACGCUUGGUCUACUUGUGACACAUCAGCUGGAUAGGUAAGCUUGGUCUACUUGUGUCACAUCAGCUGGAUAGGUAAGCUUGAUCUACUUGUGACACAUCAGCUGGAUAGAUAAGCUUGGUCUACUUGUGUCACAUCAGCUGGAUAGGUAAGCUUGAUCUACUUGUGACACAUCAGCUCGAUAGGUAAGCUUGGUCUACUUGUGUCACAUCAAUUGGAUAGGUAAGCUUGGUCUACUUGUGUCACAUCAGCUGGAUACGUAAGCUUGAUCUACUUGUGACACAUCGGCUGGAUAGGUAAGCUUGAUCUACUUCUGACACAUCAGUUGGAUAGGUUAGCUUGGUCUACUUGUGAAACAUCA